UGGGGAAUAUUGGACAAUGGGGGCAACCCUGAUCCAGCAAUGCCGCGUGUGUGAAGAAGGCCUGCGGGUUGUAAAGCACUUUCAGUAAGGAGGAAAACUCAAAGGUUAAUAGCCUUUGGGCUUGACGUUACUUACAGAAGAAGCACCGGCUAACUCCGUGCCAGCAGCCGCGGUAAUACGGAGGGUGCGAGCGUUAAUCGGAAUUACUGGGCGUAAAGCGCGCGUAGGCGGCUUUGUAAGUCGGAUGUGAAAGCCCUGGGCUUAACCUGGGAAUUGCAUUCGAUACUGCAUGGCUAGAGUAUGGUAGAGGGUAGUGGAAUUCCUGGUGUAGCGGUGAAAUGCGUAGAUAUCAGGAGGAACAUCAGUGGCGAAGGCGGCUACCUGGACCAAUACUGACGCUGAGGUGCGAAAGCGUGGGGAGCAAACAGGAUUAGAUACCCCCGUAGUCC
rnacentral:rRNA from 1 species